CGCCGCUCUGGUUCUACCACCAACAUGUGCCUAAUUAACUUUUCACAAUCUGAGGGAGAAAGAAACAAUAAAAAUAUUAUGUCAAUUUUUGUGAGCGCGCGCAUGCGUGUAUAUACAUAUGUGUAUGUGUCUGUAUACGCUACAUGUGCGUACGUGCGCGCAGUGUAUGUGACAUGCUUUUGUGAUACACAUACACAUAUGUACAUAACACCACGACCGUCUGCCGUUGCCAAAAGUUCAUCAACAGAUUUGAGACAUGCUGAAUCAGAUUUUGUUUACGAAAUUUGUCCUACACCGUUUCUCGCACUUUCAUUCACUGAUAUUAUUUAAUCAAUUUUUAAAUAAUUAUUGCGAAAUCUACAAAAGGCCUUCUUGUUCACUUUGAUAUAGUGAUAAAUACAUGAGCGUUGUGUUAUUUAGAUUUAUAUUAAUAGUCGUUACUUGAAACUUGCCUCAAGUGAGACACUCAGAUUUUAAUUUAAAAUUAAACCUGAGUUUUUUCAGUUAAAUCGUGAUUGCAAAUAUAAUAUCACAUAUAUAUUACAUAAUUCAAAUUCAGAUAACAAACUAGAGCACCUGACACAAUUGCCGUUCUGAAUUAUCGCGUACAGCUCUCAUUCUAUGGAGUUCAUAUGUUUGACGAUUUCGUACUGCGCUCCGAUAUGAAUCUUGAUCCUGAUCCUGAUCCUUCAAAAAAGAAGCGUGGUAAAUGGAUACAAGAAAAUCUGCCCAAGGAAAAUCUAUCUUACUAUCUAUCAGUAUUUUUUUAUAACGUG